UCAAGCGACUAAGCGUACACGGUGGAUGCCUUGGCAGUCAGAGGCGAUGAAGGACGUUGUAACAUGCGAAAAGCUUCGGGGAGUUUGUAAACUAGCAUUGAUCCGAAGAUGUCCGAAUGGGGAAACCCACUCCGCAAGGAGUAUCCCGCAAGGGAGGCGAACGUAGGGAACUGAAACAUCUAAGUACCUAUAGGAAAAGAAAUCAACCGAUAUUCCCUUAGUAGUGGCGAGCGAACGGGGAACAGCCGAAUCAUUACUUGAUAGCAAAGCAGUUUGGAAAAGCUGGCCAUAGUGGGUGAUAGCCCCGUAUGCGAAAUUGGGUAGUGGACAUAUUAAGUAGGGCGGGACACGUGAAAUCCUGUUUGAAGAUGGGGGGACCAUCCUCCAAGGCUAAAUACUACUGACUGACCGAUAGUGAACCAGUACCGUGAGGGAAAGGCGAAAAGAACCGCGGCGAGCGGAGUGAAAUAGAACCUGAAACCGUGUACGUACAAGCAGUGGGAGCCCUUCGGGGUGACUGCGUACCUUUUGUAUAAUGGGUCAGCGACUUACAUUCAGUGGCAAGCUUAACCGAUAGGGGAGGCGUAGCGAAAGCGAGUCUGAACAGGGCGUUCAGUCGCUGGGUGUAGACCCGAAACCGGGCGAUCUAUCCAUGACCAGGUUGAAGGUGCCGUAACAGGUACUGGAGGACCGAACCCACGCCUGUUGAAAAAGUCGGGGAUGAGUUGUGGAUAGGAGUGAAAGGCUAAUCAAGCUCGGAGAUAGCUGGUUCUCCUCGAAAGCUAUUUAGGUAGCGCCUCGUGUAUCACUCUUGGGGGUAGAGCACUGUUAUGGCUAGGGGGGCUUGACCGCCUUACCAACCCAUUGCAAACUCCGAAUACCAAGAAGUGCGAGCACGGGAGACACACGGCGGGUGCUAACGUCCGUCGUGAAAAGGGAAACAACCCAGACCAUCAGCUAAGGUCCCCAAAUUAUGGCUCAGUGGGAAACGAUGUGGGAAGGCAUAGACAGCCAGGAAGUUGGCUUAGAAGCAGCCAUCUUUUAAAGAAAGCGUAAUAGCUCACUGGUCGAGUCGGCCUGCGCGGAAGAUUCAACGGGGCUUAAGCCAUAUACCGAAGCUAUGGAUUUGCACGCAAGUGCAAGUGGUAGAGGAGCGUUCUGUACGCCUGUGAAGGUGAACUGGGAAGUUUGCUGGAGGUAUCAGAAGUGCGAAUGCUGACAUAAGUAACGACAAGACGGGUGAAAAACCCGUCCGCCGAAAGCCCAAGGAUUCCUGCGCAACGUUAAUCGGCGCAGGGUUAGUCGGCCCCUAAGGCGAGGCAGAAAUGCGUAGUCGAUGGGAAACAGGUUAAUAUUCCUGUACUAAUUUAUACUGCGAUGGGGGGACGGAGAAAGCUAGGCCAGAACACAGUUGGUGUGUAUCUAAGCGUUUAGGCAGAGAUCUUAGGCAAAUCCGGGAUCUUAAUGCUGAGGCGUGAUGGCGAGGAGUCUACGGACUUCGAGUGGUUGAUGCUAUGCUUCCAAGAAAAGCCUCUAAGCUUCAGGUAUAAAUUACCCGUACUCCAAACCGACACAGGUGGGCUGGAUGAGAAUUCCAAGGCGCUUGAGAGAACUCGGAUGAAGGAACUAGGCAAAAUGGUACCGUAACUUCGGGAGAAGGUACGCCUCUGAGGGUGUUAAAGCCCAUGGAGGCCGCAGAGACCAGGCCGCUGCAACUGUUUAUCAAAAACACAGCACUCUGCAAACACGAAAGUGGACGUAUAGGGUGUGACGCCUGCCCGGUGCCGGAAGGUUAAUUGAUGGGGUCAGCGCAAGCGAAGCUCUUGAUCGAAGCCCCGGUAAACGGCGGCCGUAACUAUAACGGUCCUAAGGUAGCGAAAUUCCUUGUCGGGUAAGUUCCGACCUGCACGAAUGG
rnacentral:rRNA from 1 species